ACGUAAACUAAAAAAAAGAAAAACAAAAAAAUGCAAUAAAAAUGUUAAAAAAAAUAGAGAAAAAUAAAGUCCAAAAAUAAUAAUAAUAAUAAUAAAGUUUAAAAAGAAAGAAAAAUAAUAUGUAUAGUUAGUUUUUAUAGCGGAGGGUAAUAUAGUAAAAUAUUAAACCAGGUUAUACAUUAAAACUUCAAACAAACACGUUUUUGUUACAUGGUUGAAUCAAACAACAUUAGAUUAUGUUUUAUUCCCCAUAAUCUUGGUUAUGUGAUUACUUGGUAAUCACAAGGUUAUACAUGAUGACUUGAACCAAAUGCACCCUAAGGGUUGAGUUUGAAUCACUCUCUAUGAAGGAGAGUGAACAUAUCUCCGACUACUUUACAAGAGUUUUUGCUGUUGUCAAUCAAAUGAAGAGACUUGGAGAAACCAUGCCUGACAUUCGGGUAAUUGAGAAGGCUCAUGAAGAAAGGAUGAACCGUGGAAAGCAAGAACAAUCAGAACAUGUAUUAUAAGCAAAGACUAAUUUGAAAAUCAAAGGAGGUGGUUCUAGUAGAGGUCGUGGGCAAGGACGAGGCAGAGGCUGAGGUUUAGUACAUAGUCGUGGUCAAGGGAGAGAUGAGUAACCUUCUUAGUUUGAUAAAAGAAAUCAAACAUCUGUAAGAGGUCGUGGAAGAGCAAGAGGAAGAGACAUUAUUCUUGGGAGUGUUAAUCAAAUAUGGAAGAUGAAGAGGCAAAUCUACUGGAGAACAAGGAAGAUGAUGUAGAGCAAUCCUUGUUUGUUGCACUCAAGGAGGAUUCUAUUCGAAAACCAAACACAUGGUACCUUAAUAAUGGUGCUAGCAAUCAUAUGACGGGUGAUAAAAGUAAAUUUGUGGAGCUUGAUACAAACAAGAAAGGUUUUGCAAGUUUUGGAGACAACACAAAGGUGAAGAUUGAAGGCAAAGGUAUAAUUCUCCUUGAAACAAAGAAUGGUGGUCAUAAAAUACUUUGUGAUGUUUAUUAUGUUCAAAAUUGACUAGCCAUAUUUGCAGUAUUGGCCAACUUUUAGAAAGAAAUUACAAGAUCAAUACGAAUGAUUAUAUGCUUCAGAUACGAGAUCAAGAUUCUAACCUUAUUGCUAAGGUGUCUAUGACUAAGAACAGGAUGUUCUUAUUGGACUUGAAGAAUUGUGGACCUAUGUGCUUGAGGACAUGUAUCCAAGAUCCAUCAUGGAUUUGACAUAUGAGGUUUGAUCAUUUGAAUUUUGAUGGACUCAAAGCUUUGGAAGAUCAUAAGAUGGUGAAAGGGAUUCCAAAAAUUGAUCAUCCUAAUCAAUUAUGUGAAGCAUGCUUACUAGGCAAGCAUCCGAGAAAGAGCUUUCUAAAGCAAUCCAUUUCCAGAGCAACUAAAUCACUCCAACUUGUCCAUGCUAAUGUUUGUGGUCCUAUCAAGCCCAAAUCUCUCGGUAAAAGCUAUUACUUUGUGCUCUUUAUUGAUGAUUUCAGUAGAAAGACAUGGGUCUAUUUUUUGAAGCACAAACCUGAGGUAUUUGGUAUAUUCACAAAGUUCAAAGCUCUUGUUGAAAAAGAAAGUAUAUAUCAAAUUUAAGCAUUAAGAAUUGAUAGGGGUGAUGAAUUUACAUCUAAUGAAUUUAACAACUUUUGAGAGUUGCAUGGAAUUUGUUGUCUUUUGACCGUUCCAAGAUCAUCCAACAAAUCGGAGUUGCUGAAAGGAAGAAUAAGACAAUACUUAAUAUGGCAAGGAGUAUGUGAAAAUAUAAAGGCAUGUCUAAGGAGUUUUGGGCAGAAGUUGUGCAUGUGCUGUGUAACUUUCAAAUCGAUCUCUAACAAAGAGCUUGAAGAACGUAACACCUCAAGAAGCAUGGAGUGGAUGGAAGCCAACUAUAUCACAUCUACGAGUAUGUGGAUCCAUUGCAUUUGCACAUAUCCAUGAACAAGGAAUAUCCAAGUUAGAUGAUCGGAGUUAGAAACUUAUUUUCAUUGGAUAUGAUGAAAAUUCCAAGAGGUAUAGAUUGUACAAUCCACAUAAAGGAAGAGUGGUGAUUAGUAGAGAUGUAGAAUUUAACAAAGAUGCAUCGUGGGAUUAGAGCUCUAAGGAAGAAGAAGGGUCUUAUGAUUUUCUCCUUACUUUGAUGUGGAAAAAGAAGUCCAAGAGAAAUCUACUCCACUGGCAACUCCACAUGCACUUGGGUUAUCAAUGACGUCGGGAUCAUCUUCGGGAGAAAAGACUCUAAAAUAUCGAAGUGACAUAUACAAUGAGACUCAUGUUAUUGAUGAAAUGAUAUGUUUUGUUUACUUGCAGAGGUUGAACCUUUGAGCUUUGAAGAAGCAAAAGAGGAUGAGAAAUGGAGAGGAGCCAUGGAUGAAGAAAUGCUAGCCAUUGUGAAGAAUGAUACUUGGGAGUUAGUAUCUAUUUCAAAAGACCAUGAGACUAUUGGUAUCAAAUGAGUGUACAAGACAUUGAUUAUGACGAGGUAUUUGCUCUGGUAGCUUAAAUGGAGACAAUUCGCUUAUUGAUAUCUGUUGCCGUUCAAAAUCAUUGGAAGAUUUAUUAGUUAGAUGUUAAAUCUGCCUUUCUUAAUGGUUAUCUUAAUGAAGAUGUUUACAUUGAGUAACCUAUUGGAUAUGUGGUUAAGGGGCACGAUGACAAGGUCUUGAAGCUAAAGAAGACACUUUAUGGUCUUAAACAAGCGCCCAGAGCUUGGAACAAUCGUCUUGACAAAUAUUUGCAAGAAAGUGGUUUCAUGAGAUGCACCCACGAGUAUGCACUCUAUAUGAAAGAAGAAGGUCAGAGUUUCUUACUUGUUUCCAUUUAUGUGGACGAUCCUAUAUUCACAGGAAAUAAUUAAAGAAUUCAAGAUAGUCAUGAAUAUUAGAUGAUUGAUAUGAGACUCAUGACUUAUUUCUUGGGAAUCCAAGUAAAGCAAAUGGAGGAUGGAACUUCUAUUUCACAAGAGA